UUCAAACGGUUCUCUCAAUUUUUUCUCAAAUAUAAAAAAGAAAAGUUAAAAGUAACCAUAUUUCAUAUCAAUAUCCCCCCAAAAAAUCAAAACCCUAAUUUGAUCUAAAAAUCUGAACAGAAUUUCAGAUCUUCUCGUUUCCACUGCAAAAUUAUGUCUUUCUCGCGGAUAGCUCGCAGACAAGGAGUGAAUUUCCAACAUGAAUUUGAGUCCUCUAUCAACAGAAACAACAUGUACCAGCACAAAAACCCACAUUAUUGCAAUAGCAAUACGAGCUACCUUCAUGGCAUGCCUAGAAAUUAUGGGGAAUAUGUUUAUAAUGUUAGAAGUGAUGAAAAUGCUAAUCCUUUGAAGAGGAGAAAAUGUUCGAAUUCUGGGGAUAGCCAGAGAUACUACCGGCAACCUAACAGCAAUGGUCCUUCGACAAGCAAUAGUUUAUUUAUUGCUUCUACCAGACCUGAUGUGAAUAACUCAACCGUAAUAGGUUGUAAACGUGACAGGUCACAGAUAGAUGACGAAGUAGAGUUUUUUUCUAGAGAUGAGAUCGAGAGACUGUCCCCAUCAAGAAAGGAUGGUAUCGAUCCUCUCCGAGAAACAUAUCUUCGUAAUUCUUACUGUUCAUUUCUUCAGAAUCUUGGUACACGACUUGAAUUGCCACAGACUACCAUUGGAACCGCAAUGGUUCUUUGCCACCGCUUUUUUGUUCGAAGAUCACAUGCUUGUCACGAUAGAUUUUUGAUCUCGACGGCAGCCCUUUUCCUUGCGGCGAAGUCUGAGGAGACGCCGUGCCCUUUGAACAAUGUAUUGAGGGUGUCAUAUGAAAUUUGCUACAAGCAGGAUCUUAAUUUCUUUCCUUAUCUUCUCCCUGUGGACUGGUUCGAGCAGUAUCGGGAACAUGUUAUUGAUGCCGAGAACAUAAUACUGAGAACACUGGAUUUUGAGCUUAAUGUGGAGCAUCCCUACGAUCCUCUGACAUCAGUCCUUAACAAAUUAGGACUAUCAGAGACUGUUUUGAUCCACUUGGCACUAAACUUGGUCAGUGAAGGUUGUCGCAGGCAUUUGUUCUUUUCUUUUUAUAUAUAGUGCAGCAGCUCCAUACGUCUUGAAAUUGUAGAAGAGAAUACUUAGCUGGAUCUUCACAAGAAUAGCGUGCUCACCUUAUGAUAUUCUUAGCUGGCGAUUUGAUAUGAUUUUCAUGCAUGGAAAGUUUUGUUUUACGCCUGAAGUUGGAGUGCUGAUGUGUUGUGGAUAGCUUUUUCAUGAAAGUCUUUUACCAUUGUGGUCAUUGGUUACUGGGUUAACCACCAACCUACCACCACCAGUUUAUAAUAUCUCACCCUUAGGAUUUUCUCUGACUGCUGCGGUUUUCUCUAGAAACUGCUGCGGUUUUCCGUCCCCACAAUGCCAUGAAAUCUGUCCGGACCACAAAUUUUCAUAAAUGGACCAUACGAAAUAAUGAUGUCACAGACUACUAUAUUAAUUGCUUAUAAGCAGUAUUCUGUUUGAUGGCUAAAGUGAUUUUGGUCUAUAUUCUUCGGAUAUGAUGUAUUUAAAAAGGUUUCUUUGCCUGGAGCUCUCAGAUAUUAUGGUGAGACGGAAUAUAGGUUGUGUAUGGACUUAUACGAGCUAUUACUAUGUAUGAGUCUUCCAUCUGACACGGUACUCCAUUCAGUUUUGGGUUAGGUGUUAUUUCUCUACUUCGGUUGAUGGGCUUCCCUUUUGUUUAAGGAAUAGUCUAUUGUCUUUAGACUUGCAUCAGAAUAUUAUUUUUCAAAAGUGUGCCUUAAGAGUUCACAUCUCCAAGUUCUAUUCUAAUGUUGGAGACAAGGUAAUGUUUUCUAUAUAUAUAUAUAUAUAUAUAUUUGUAUUCUUUGCAUGUAGGUAAAAUUGAACCAUAACUUUUACCAGGUAGCAUGAUUUGCUAUUGAGAUUGUCAGCCAUUGAGCCAGUGGUAGUAGGUUAUGAUAUAUCUAGGCAGAUGUGAAAAGAAAUCAUGCAUCUAAUGACUAAGCAGGAGUAAGCUAAGAAAGUAAAGCCAAGGGUCUUAGGAGGCAUGUUUUAAAUUAGAAGUCAAGAACCGAAUAGUGCCUCUAGUGCAGCCAGAUUUCUUCGUACCAAUUGUUCUUUGUCUCUUUGGCUAUAAUACUGUUUUUAAAAUAGUCGGAAUAAAGAAGAAUAAGAAAUGGUACUUAGUUUUUGACGUUUGACUUCUCAGAUGGACACAAACUCAUCCUCUUUUGUCCUUUUGUUCAUUCCCACUUUUUUCCUAUUUCCUUUUCUCUUUUCUCUUUGCCCCUUUGUUCUUUCUUUCUGCUAAUGCUUUUCAUGCUUAAAAGUUCUUUUGCAUUUCAAAGUUCCCAAUGGAUUUGUUUAUAUGCGACCCAAUUUACAGGUAUCCAUAGACGUCGCCGGUUUACCUUUAGGAAUUUAUGUAUGUCCAAUUUCCCGUUGGAUGAAAUGUUGAUCAGUGUUGUUACAGUUGCAGUUUUUGGUUUGAGAUAGCUUGCAUUCUGGAGUCAAAUAUUCGUUACGUAGUAUGAUGAAUUUACGUGCCUUUACAAACAUUAUAACAUUUACGUAUGCUAUGACAUGGUGCAACAUCAGUGUUUUCUACUUGAUGCUUUUAUGGGCACCUCUGUCAGUUCAGUCCACAUGAUUGUUGGCGUCUAUCACCACUCAUUUUAGCACCGUGGUCAUGGGUGUAUUGCCUGUCUAUGUUGUCAAUAGUGCUUCUGCCAUGAGUGUGAAAUCGUGCUCUUUCACAUGACAUCAUUGAAAAGAAGAAACUGGCACGACCUUUGAGAAAGUUUCAAUCAUAAAAAAACAUCCGACAAAAUUAUGUAUCUGAUGAAUAAUGGAAAUGUGCCUUCCCCUGAAGGACAAUUAGGUCUUGGAGCUGAUUCGUUGUUCCAGUAGUUAUGACAAAUUUUGGUAUUGUUUCGAAACCUUGUUAGCAUUUCUGGAGAUUCUCGGGAAAAUAUUCCUUCUGAUGGCUGCUUUCAUAGUUGGCUUCGGAGCUCACUUUGGCUUCAGUUCAAACCUCAUCAUAUUGCUGCUGGUGCUGCAUAUCUUGCUGCAAAGUUCCUUAAUUUUGAUCUCGCAGCUUACCAAACAAUGUUGCAAGAGUUCCAUACAACGCCUUCCAUUGUGCAAGAUGUGGUCCAACAGUUGAUGGAGCUCUUUUAGAAGAUUUAUAUAUAUAGUCUAGGGGACUCUUGUAUCUGAGGCUCGUUAUACAUACAUGUAAGAUUAUCGUGUAUUAGUUGUUAUAUUGAACCUUCCCUUUUGGAGAAUUGAUGUAUAAAGUUGCUAUAUUAUGGAACUCUUUGAAAUCAGGUCUGCAAAUAGUAUCAACUAAUACAACUUCUGCACA